CUGUCGAAAUCCGGAUGGACCGUCACACUCUCCGCUUGUAUUUCGUAGCUUCCCUCUUCAUUUACGGACCUAUCGUGAUCUCCCAAGUACACGGUGCUGGUAGUGAAUCUGCAGAACAGACCGGCUCAUAACUCCAGAAGAUGCCCGGCCGUUAUCACCCAACGAUGCUUGAUGAGGGAACCGCCACACCUACCUCCCCAGCCCAUUUUGAUGCCAACCUGAAGUAUUUUUUUAACUUGAUUGUAUGUUUGUUGUUGUUCUCCCUCUCUUUUUCGUGUGAAUGCAUUUAUUUCUGUCCCCAUUACACGUGUGUACCUAAGAAUGUUGAGUAUGUUACUCUGUGAAUGGUAUUAGUAUCCGGUCAUGAGCGUAAAUGAUGGCAUCUGAUGAUUAAUCUGUUUGUACAUAACCAUGAAUGUGACACAAGCUAGCAUGACAAUAUGCUCCAUAAUAAAGACAUUUCAGGAA